rnacentral:siRNA from 1 species
UAACUUUCACUCUCGGCUU